UCAUAAGGUUUUUUUUGGGUUCUGAACCCCUCUUCCCUUCUCUUCCGCCCCAGCAUCGGCGGCUCUAGCGAGCUGCUAAAGCCGCGCCCCCCGACGCCAUAAUCCCUGAACGAUCCCCAGAGCAGAGCCAUCCUCUCUCUCCUCGGGAGCCCUCACAAGCGAGAGGCGAGAGACCAGAGAUGGGCGGCGGCAACUGCAACCCCAAGGACUUCGGCGCCGCCGCCUACUGGGAGGCCCGCUACUCCUCUCCCUCCACUGGCGGCAAGGGCGGCGGCGGUGGCGGGUUCUUCGACUGGUACCAGUCGUACUCGGCGCUCCGCCCCCUCCUCCGCGCCUGCGUGCCCACUUCCUCCCGGGUCCUCAUGCUCGGCUGCGGCAACUCCCUUCUGUCGGAGGACAUGGUAAAGGAUGGUUACCAGAACAUAGUAAACAUAGACAUCUCAUCAGUUGUAAUCGAGCAGAUGAAAGAGAAGCACAUGGAUAUCCCACGGCUUACAUAUAUGCAGUUGGAUGUCAGAGAUAUGAGCUUCUUUGGAGAUGGAUCAUUUGAUUGUAUCAUCGACAAAGGAACUUUGGAUGCUAUGAUGUGUGGCGAUGAUGCCCCUCAUGGUGCUUACAAAAUGCUAGCAGAAGUGGCAAGGCUUAUGAGGCCUGGUGGGAUUUACAUGUUGAUAACAUAUGGUGCCCCUAAGGAACGCCUGACACUUCUGAAUCAAGUCCAAUGCUGUUGGGAAGUUGAGCUUUACAUUAUGCGUAAGUUUGAAAUGUCCUCUCCUCACUCUGAAGAGCGCGCCCAAGUACCAUUUCUACCAUACACUCUAUUAUAACAUGAUUUUGUGCAUAUGAUUUGCUUUAUUAUGUGGGAACUAUGGAUUCAAAAGUGCGAGGUUUGCUUCAUUCUGUAGGAACUAUGGAUGCAAAACUGCAAAGUUUUGCUUCUACUACUUCCAAUUCUCAUAAGAUGCUAAAGAACUACAAUAGAGUUAUGAAAAAGUUGCUACAGGCUGAUUAUAGCACACAAUGUUACUGGGGAAUCUUGGGAGGAAAUAAAUUAGCACCAUUUAUUGGGAACUCAUAUGCCCCUUUUUGUUUGCAAAAUGUUUGGAUCUACUAUCUAGGUUUGCAUAUUGUUGUAUGUGUCAUUCGGGAAAACAUGUCACUAAUCCUUUGUGCCACUUUCAAUGGCCAAAGACCAAAAUACCCUUGUUUGAUGGUUAGUCAGUGCCUCAGUGGCAACCUUGACUUGAAUUAAUGACGGCGGCAAUGGUGACCGAAGAAGCCUGCCUGGUCUGUGCUUCGUGCCCUCGAUCACGCCGCGUCAUUAAACAAAGCCACACCUGAAUACCAGCUGAAAUGGAGCAACGGUGCUGCACACGCCAUGAUGGAGAAAGUUGCACUGACAGUGGAUCGCCAACUGCCACCUGACUACGUUCUCAAGGAUCCAGAGUCACAUUUCAUUUAUGUUUGUUACAAGUCAGAUAUAGUGACUGAAGAUAAUUCCAUGGUUGCUGGUCAAGAUGAUGCCAUGACUUCAUUUUAAUAGAGUCCGACCACAAUUACCGAAUUAAUUAUUGCCAUGACUUCAAAAUGAUUUGCUUCUCAUCCUUGGUCUGAAUGGUAGAUUGUUACCGUUGAUUAUGAAAACUCAUACCCUUUUGUGCCAUUAUCUGGCGUGAGUAAGAGUGAUGAGUGUGCUUUGUGGAAGUUGGAGGAUUUAAGAAAUAUAGUUGUUGUGUGUUUCUAUCUGCCAUUA